AGUAAUGCUUGGGAAUCUAGCUUAUGGAGGGGGAUAACUACGGGAAACUGUAGCUAAUACCGCGUAGUAUCGGAAGAUGAAAGUGUGGGACCUUCGGGCCACAUGCCAUAGGAUGAGCCCAAGUGGGAUUAGGUAGUUGGUGAGGUAAAGGCUCACCAAGCCGACGAUCUCUAGCUGGUCUGAGAGGAUGACCAGCCACACUGGGACUGAGACACAGCCCAG
rnacentral:rRNA from 1 species